UGAAGUCUAUCUAUGAAAAAUAUUUGUCAAUUGCACUUUGCUGAUCUUGGCUUGGCAUUCGAAUUUUAUAAUUCAUAUGCCAAGACGAGGGGCUUCAGUGUGCGAAAGAGUAGAAGUAGAAUAGUUGAUGAAAAAGUUAGAGAAAAAACAUAUGUUUGUUCUUGUGAAGGGCAUAGAUUAGAAAAAUGGAACCAUAUGAAAAAUCGAGUUAGGGAGCCAAAACCAGAGACAAGAUGUGGUUGUAUGAGUAAACUUCAUGUUAUCUUCAAUGCGGUAACUGAGAGUUGGGUAGUGAGAGAUUUUUGUGAUGAACACAACCAUGAGCUUGUUGUUCCAAAGUUAGCAAGAAUGUUAAGAUCUCACAAGAAAAUGACUGAACCUGACAUUAGUCAAAUGAACCAUAUGAAAGAGGUGGGGAUCAGCAUGCCAAACAUAUUUGGGUCAUUAGCUAGCCAGUGUGGUGGGUACGAGAACGUUAAUUUUUCAAUUAAGGAUAUGCACAAUCAAGUUGCGAAGCAAAGAAGACAAUUAUCUGAUGAUUUAACCUCUGCAAUGGCUUACCUGGAAACGCUAGCAGCAAGGGAUCAAAACUUGUUCUAUAGUGUUGAAAAGGGCAGAGAAGGAGUGUUUCGACAAAUUUUUUGGUGUGAUGGCCGGUGUUAGUUGGAUUACGAUCUGUUCGGGAAUGUGCUAGCAUUUGACGCCACAUAUAAGAAGAAUAGAUACAGAUUGCCGGUGGUAAUAUUCUCGAGAGUUAACCACCAUAAUCAAACAGUUGUAUUUGGUGCUGCGAUAGUUUCGAAUGAGAGGAAAAGCACCUAGUGUGGUUACUAAAACAGCUUCUCAUAGCAAUGAAGGGAAAGACACCGACUUCAGUAAUUACGGAUGGUCAUCACUCGAUGGCUAUCGCUAUUCAGGAAGUGUUUUCGAAUGCACAUCAUAGGUUAUGUGCAUGGCACUUGAUGCGUAAUGCAACAAGCAAUAUUCACAAACCUCAGUUUACGAAAAUGUUUACAAAGUUAAUGCUAGGUGAUUACGAAGUUGGUGUGUUCGAACAAAAGUGGGAGGAAAUGGUUGGAUUCUUUGGAGUAGAAGAUCGGGAAUGGAUAGUAGAUAUGUAUGAAAAAAGAAACAUGUGGGCUACCGCUCAUAUCCGAGGAAAAUUCUUUGCUGGGUUUAGAAUGACUUCGAGGUGUGAAAGUCUACAUGCUGUCCUCAAAAGAUAUAUUAAAUCACGCUAUAAUUUGACAGAAUUUGUUCAACACUUCCAGCGUUGUUUGAGCUACAUGCGGCACAGAGAGGAUUUGGCAGACUUUAAAUCAUCAACUGGACAACCUGUGAUGCAGACACACUUUCAACAAUUAGAAAGGUCAGCAGCUACCAUUUAUACCCGGCAAAUUUUUGUGUUGUUCCGUUCAAUGCUCAACAAGGCCAGCACAUUGAAGGUAAUAUAUGAAGAGGAAACGAGUUCUUGCAAGAUUUAUCAGGUGUCAAAAUUUUACAAGCCUAACAUGAUAUGGCAUGUGUCUUUUCAUGGAGAGCAAGAUGAAUUUAAAUGCUCAUGCAUGAGAAUGGACUCCAUAGGUAUUCCAUGUAGUCAUAUACUUGCUGUUUUGGGUUUUCUAGACAUUGCAGAGCUGCCAAAAUCAUUAGUGCUGCGAAGAUGGACUAGAAAAGCGAAGGAAGGCAUUAGUGGGUAUGAUGACAUGGGCGGCUUGAUGGAGGAUUCCUUGGCUAUCAAUCGGCGUGCAUGUUUGGCACAUUGGUGUAAACAAAUUAUGAACGAAGGGUGCCUAAAAGGGGAUAUUUUUAAUGAAUCACGAGAUGCAUUGGUAAAUAUACUUUCAUGUAUUAGGGCUCAUAGCGGGGACAAUAACAUGAUGUAGGAGCAUGCAGAAUACAUGUAUGAAGACCUUGCAAAGAAUGGAAGUACUGAGAUAGAGACCACAAGGAAGCCUAAGCGUUGCAGCUACUGUCGCAAGGGGGGCAUAACAUUGCUACGUGUUCCAUGAAGAAAAUGGAUGAAAGGACUCCCAAAUUUGAUGAUGACGCUGAGGAGAAUAUUGAGGGUGAGGACUACUCCUUCGUAGAUGCUGAAAGUGAUGAGUAUAUUCACACUGAAUGGUUUGAGGAGGAAGAUGAAUAUUUAAAUUUCUCAAGGUAUUAUGAACAGAGUGGUGGCGAGACUGCGUCCUCAAUCGAUUACGAUUCUGAUGGGGCAAAUGAUGAUGAUGAGGCAGAGUUGUGAACCAUCCGUUGCAACAAUCAAAGACGAGUUUAAGAGCACUUUUUUCUGUUUUUAUUAGUUAUACUUUUGGAACUUGUUUACAUCACUCUGAAUCUUAAAUACUUUAGAAC